GUGCUUACGCUUGAUAAAGUCAGAAGCCACCGUAUCCACAUCCUUAUCCAUGUCAUCUUUCUUGAUAACAUUGGCAUGGUUAUCCUGAAACUUUUGGUUGGCUUGGCGAGGUAUUGUUCCUGUUGCUGCUUCUUUCUUCAUCGCACUAGCAUCGUUGUCCUGAAAUUUGGCAUGGUUUUGGUGGGCUUGGAAAUAGAACAGACGAGUGUGAGACAUUGCUCUGUAGCUUCUUGCUUGAAGGUAUGAGGAAAUGAUGAAAGGGUAAGAAUUGUGUUGCAGCUCUGAUGUUUUCUUCUCCUCUUUUAUAGGCCAAUAAAGAUACUUAUCUGAACGGCAAGUGGGCAUCAUAUUCUCCACUUUUUACAAUUUUGGGUUUUGGACUAAUCUUUCGUGUUUUCUUUCUUGUCCGCUUUUUCAGUCAAAUUUGUAAGGCGUUGAGUGACUACGUCGUUAUCUUUUAAGUAAUUUGGCUAGCUAGGGUUCUAUCCUAACAUGGACAUAAGUUUCUCGAAAAGAACUGGAUGCCUUUCCUGUUGCUCAGUCAACUUUUCAAGAGCCUGAAUAAUAUCCUGCAACCACAAAGGGGCCUAACCGCUGCUUCCUGUUUAGUGAAGUGGAUUUUCUGCACAAUCAAAUGAAAAAGCAUGUGAAAGCUUCUGCCUGGUGGAGUGGUGGUGUUCUGCGGGUCAAGCCGGGCGCUUAUUUUUUGACGAAGUUCGGCACGAUAUAGAUUGGUACCAGAAAGCAAUCAUAUGUAGAUAUGCUCCUUGGAAGAUGCUUCAUUCAUCCUAUGGGCAGCAUUAUCUGCGGAACGUUUAUCACAUGGACAUCUUGAUACUUUUAUAUAUCGUUUAUACGACGGAAAACGUAGCAGCUUAGAUUCUAGAAAGCGUGAGUGCUUGGUUGUCAUAGUUGUAUGAUGCCUGGCUGAAUCGCCAAACUUCACACAUAUCUUGUGCUGGUGGUAUUAUCAUCUUACAGAAUUCCAGGGCUA